rnacentral:rRNA from 1 species
ACGGAGCGGCGAACGGGUGAGUAACACGUGGGCAACCUGCCCCUCGCUCUGGGACAACUCGGGGAAACUCGGGCUAAUACCGGAUACGACCGCUCCAGGCAUCUGGUGGUGGUGGAAAGUUUUUCGGCGAGGGAUGGGCCCGCGGCCUAUCAGCUUGUUGGUGGGGUGAUGGCCUACCAAGGCGACGACGGGUAGCCGGCCUGAGAGGGCGACCGGCCACACUGGGACUGAGACACGGCCCAG